rnacentral:rRNA from 1 species
UAGGGCGAAAGCCUGAACCAGCAACGCCGCGUGUGUGAUGAAGGCCUUCGGGUCGUAAAGCACUUUUCUGGGAGAUGAGAAAGGACAGUAUCCCAGGAAUAAGUCUCGGCUAACUACGUGCCAGCAGCCGCGGUAAAACGUAGGAGGCGAGCGUUAUCCGGAUUCACUGGGCGUAAAGCGCGUGCAGGUGGCGCAGUAAGUUGGGUGUGAAAUCUCCCGGCUCAACUGGGAGAGGUCAUUCAAUACUACCGUGCUUGAGAGCAGAAGAGGAAGAUGGAAUUCCCGGUGUAGUGGUGAAAUGCGUAGAUAUCGGGAGGAACACCAGUGGCGAAGGCGAUCUUCUGGUCUGUUUCUGACACUCAGACGCGACAGCUAGGGUAGUAAACGGGAUUAGAGACCCCGGUAAUCCUAGCCGUAAACGAUGUGAACUUGGCGUUGGUGGGUUAAACUCCAUCAGUGCCGAAGCAAACGCGAUAAGUUCACCGCCUGGGGACUACGGCCGCAAGGUUA